ACCAGUGUUCAUAGCACGUUAAAUGCAACAGUUCCUAAUGGAUCACUCAAGUUCAUCAACGUUGAGCAUGGUUGGUAUUUGGAUGGGUGACCAUCUAGGCAAUUGCAUGCUGCUGGCC
rfam:Asian citrus Psyllid, Diaphorina citri - Florida Strain, whole genome shotgun sequence.